rnacentral:misc_RNA from 1 species
GAAAUGCGAUAAUUAAUGUGAAUUGCAGAAUUCAGUGAAUCAUCGAGUCUUUGAACGCACAUUGCGCCCCCUGGUAUUCCGGGGGGCAUGCCUGUCCGCGCGUCAUUGCUGCUCUCAAGCACGGCUGGUGUGUUGGGCUUCCGUCCCUGGCAACGGGGACGGGCCCAAAAGGCAGUGGCGGCACCAUGUCUGGUCCUCGAGCGUAUGGGGCUUUGUCACCCGCUCCCGUAGGUCCAGCUGGCAGCUAGCCUCGCAACCAAUCUUUUUAACCAGGUUGACCUCGGAUCAGGUAGGGAUACCCGCUGAACUUAAGC